CCUACGGGGGGCAGCAGUGAGGAAUAUUGGUCAAUGGACGAGAGUCUGAACCAGCCAAGUAGCGUGAAGGAUGACUGCCCUAUGGGUUGUAAACUUCUUUUAUAUGGGAAUAAAACGUUCCACGUGUGGGAUUUUGUAUGUACCAUAUGAAUAAGGAUCGGCUAACUCCGUGCCAGCAGCCGCGGUAAUACGGAGGAUCCGAGCGUUAUCCGGAUUUAUUGGGUUUAAAGGGAGCGUAGGUGGAUUGUUAAGUCAGUUGUGAAAGUUUGCGGCUCAACCGUAAAAUUGCAGUUGAAACUGGCAGUCUUGAGUACAGUAGAGGUGGGCGGAAUUCGUGGUGUAGCGGUGAAAUGCUUAGAUAUCACGAAGAACUCCGAUUGCGAAGGCAGUUCACUGGACUGCAACUGACACUUAGGCUCGAAAGUGUGGGUAUCAAACAGGAUUAGAUACCCUUGUAGUC
rnacentral:rRNA from 1 species